UGAGGAAUAUUGGUCAAUGGGCGCGAGCCUGAACCAGCCAAGUAGCGUGCAGGAUGACGGCCCUAUGGGUUGUAAACUGCUUUUGUAUGGGGAUAAAGUCAAUCACGUGUGAUUGUUUGCAGGUACCAUACGAAUAAGGACCGGCUAAUUCCGUGCCAGCAGCCGCGGUAAUACGGAAGGUCCGGGCGUUAUCCGGAUUUAUUGGGUUUAAAGGGAGCGUAGGCCGGAGAUUAAGUGUGUUGUGAAAUGUAGACGCUCAACGUCUGACUUGCAGCGCAUACUGGUUUCCUUGAGUACGCACAACGUUGGCGGAAUUCGUCGUGUAGCGGUGAAAUGCUUAGAUAUGACGAAGAACUCCGAUUGCGAAGGCAGCUGACGGGAGCGCAACUGACGCUUAAGCUCGAAGGUGCGGGUAUCGAACAGGAUUAGAUACCCUGGUAGUCCGCACAGUAAACGAUGGAUGCCCGCUGUUGGUACCUGGUAUCAGCGGCUAAGCGAAAGCAUUAAGCAUCCCACCUGGGGAGUACGACCGCAAGGUUG
rnacentral:rRNA from 1 species